rnacentral:tRNA from 1 species
GGACGCGUAGCUCAAUUGGAUAGAGCGUCAGAUUACGGCUCUGAAGGUUGAGGGUUCGACUCCUUCCGCGUUCACCA